CUUAAACCUCAACCUCCAGUCUACUGUGAAUAACCCCCAGUAUCUCUCUAGUCAUUGCUGCGUGUUUUGCAAGACGGUGAAUUCUACAGGACAGCUUUCUCACAGUUCUAUGGUUCAUCAGGAAUACAGAAUUCUGGGAUGUGGUCUCUGUUCAGCACAGUCCUAUUCAAGAAAUAAGUCAGUCAGGCCCAAGAACAAGUCUGGAGCUCAGCAUGCUUCUGGUGUAUUGACAAAGGCUUCACUUCUGACCACUCUACUGCAUUACCAAAGUCAUCUGCUCUGGUCAUUGUGACACCAUUGGCUGCAAGGUUCUCACCCGAAUCCAGCUGAUGCUUGUACUCUUCUUUUGAAUCUCCAAACUCACCUCUCAGCUUGGAAUUCAUCCAAUAGAGCGUUGAGACAGAAUCCAAAGUGGCUUCCUGCUUCCAACAUCUGUUGUGCCUCAGCUCUUCCCUAAAAUCUGGCGUAGAAAGCAUCCAACCAUAUCUCUAAAUCACUAAACUCUAAUAAUUUUCUACUGGAUAAAGUAGAAAAUAUUUAACAUGACUUAGAAACUAUUUUAUAGUGUGGAAGUGUUACUUAACUUUUCUUAUUGUUGUAACAAAAUGAAUGCUUGACUACCUAGCCACAAAGGAUUUCAGCAUUCGUUUUUGUAGAAGACAUCCCACCACGGCAGGGAAGAAACAGAAGCAGGAGCCAGGUGGCUGGUCGCAUUGCGUCUUCAUUCAAGAAUCGGAGAGCAAGGAAUCCUGACUAGUGUUUCACUUGCUUUCUAGGAUCUUGGUCUAUCGGACGCUGCGACCCAUGUUCAGUGUGGGUCUCUUCUCUUCAGCCAAAGCUUUCUGCAAAUGCCCUCAGACACAUGCAGAGGUGUGUCAGGUUAGCUGAGAUCACACUCACUACCGUUGUCCCUCCCCUCUUCUCCUCUACUUUUAGCAGACUACUGGCGUUUCCAGGAAUACAAGAAGGACUUGCUGUUCAAACUUGGUCCUUCAUUGGUUGGUGUACUGCGUGACUCAGCUUAAGUGACACAUUGACUCUGAAGCUUUUGUGAGGCCCAUGUAUGGGCUACCUUAUUUCUUUUGUCAAUUACAGCUCAUUUUGUUGAAGGAGUUUCUUCUCCUAUGGAUCUAUCAGAGUCAAAUGCUGUGAGAGUGAUGGUCUGGAUGUUAAUUUUUUUCAAGUUUAGUGAUGACAGAGUAGGAAGCAAACAGAUUAAUUAAUGACAACAAAAAAUACAAAGAGACUAUCUGCUAGGUAUUAUAGUAAUUCUCAAUAUUAAUGUAUCUGGGAUUUAAUUUUAGUUAUAUGUUACCAUUGAAAGCCACCAUAUCUGGACACCUAUGCAGUUAUUUCUUCAUUUGCAGUAUGGAACUUAUGUGUAUAAGUUCAUAAUUUUGAUAAAAUAUUAUAUACAGUGAUUUCUUAACCUUUCUCCAUUUAAAAUUAAGAUCUUCUAGCUACCAAGAUUAAAUCAUAUUAUCUUUUUGGGUAAACUCAUUACAUUUACUGUGGUAAACAAAACCUAAAAUGAUACAUAAUUGCUCCAAAUAGA